AUUAUACGCUAUGUAUUUAUUGUCUUUGGCUGGUUUCUCCUACAGUAGUAGAGUUGAAUAGCCACAGAGACUGUUUGGUGUGUGAAGCCCAAGUUAUACGCUGUCUGGCCCUUUAUAGAAAGUUCCCAACCCUGUUGUACGACAGUGAACAUCUUUCCAUGUUCAUUUUUAUAUACAUGUUUAUUUUCUCAACAUAAAUCAAAGGAGCUAUUUCGAUCAAAGGGGAAUGAACAUCUUUGUGACUCUUGACAAAUUGUCCGCAGAAGAGUUCCCCGUUCCUGUAAGAUUUGCUCUUUCAUUACUAGAAGAUGAAAGUUUAUCCUUAUCCCUAUACCCUUGACAACACUGAGCAUUAUUAUAUUUUGUAACCAUUACAAAUUUUGUGAGUUGAUGAAUGAUACCUUACUUUUGUUUGCCUACCUUUGGUCGCUAGCGAGGUGGAACAUUUUUCCAUAACUGUCCCUUCCAUUUCAUUUCUGAACUCCCUGUUUCUCUCCUUUGCACAUUUUUCUAUUGAAGUGUUUGCUUUUUCUUCAUGAUCUGUCAGAUAUAUUUAAAUGUUACUGAUAUUGUACACUUGAUGCUUUGGAUGUUGGCGGCUUCACUUUUUCUCAAAAUAAUGUGCUCUCCGCGUCCAUGGCUCCAGUGGAUGGUGUACCAUGAGUCUGAAGUAGUAUGUCAGUUCUUUCCAUCUUAGGUUUUGUUUUGAAGGGAAGCUUUUUGUGGGAAAGCUAAAGACCUGGCUUCUCCUCCCUGAGCCUGAGAGAAGAAAGUUUCCAAGAAGAAACCUAGCAGUUUAGGAAGCAGACCCCUCUUUCCUUUCUUUUCUCAGGCCCAGAGGUAACCCGGGUCUUCUUCGAAGUGGAAACCCCCCUUAUUCAUUCAUGUUUCUGUAAAAGCCCCUAAAUUGAUUCCAUGCUCAUGGAACCUGGUAGCACGAAUCAAAGUGUGUGUGGCAAGCAUUAUUCCUGAAGCAUGCCAUGUUUAAACCAUUUGCCCUCCAUGAAAUCUCUUUUAUGUUUUUCAGAAACUGUGUAAUGAACUGUUGAAAAAGGGUUAAUCGCUAUAAUGCGUAAAGUAGCCACUCAAAAAACCACACCAGCCAUCACACUUUCCAAAUAAAAUUUUGUUCAUUCAGGUGGGUGUCUUGGCUGGGAGAAGGCAGCAAAAAGAUGGUCUCUGAACCAUAGAUUGUUCCUCAUGUCUUAAAAUAAACAAACCCGCUUGGGUUACUUAGGGUAAAAUGGUUUGGGGAAACCUUAGGCUGGCAUCAAAGCAUGAACACUAAGCCAGCUUGCCCCACACUGCCGUCUCUGUGCUCUGGGGUAAUGAGGUGAUGGUAGGUUUUUUGAGACAGCUGGAGAGUCUGACAUUUAACUGUGAGACUGACUGUGGCAUCUUCUGAAACUUUACUGACAAAUCCAUCCUCCAUCCCUGGACCUCUCUCUCUUAAGAUUCUUUUGAUUUUUGUAAUAUUUUCUCAUCCCCCCUGAGUUAUGACUGGAACCAUCUCAAACUUAAUAAAAACCUAUAUCUGUAUGGCACCCCACAGGUUCAAGGAGCUUCCUUCACAUGAUCUUUCUCGUCUGCGAAGGAAAUGUAGCUCAUUAUUCUCCCCAUUUUAUAGAUGAGUAAACUGAGGGUCCAGGAAGCUUAUUGGAUUCUUGUGCAUGCAUCGUACAGCUAGUAUGCAUCAACUUUUGUUUAUGAACGUGGGUUCUAUUUUAUUCCAAGAACUCCACACAUUUCAUUGUGGACAGAAAUCACAACUUGAUUGCCCUGAAAGUGCCUGCAUGAGCUCUCUUUGUCUUGGGGGUAGCAGCUUCUUUCAUCCAGUGGGUAAAUAUUUGUCCAGCUCAUACUAUGUUUUGUCCGUCCUGCCAGAUGUUUUACAUAUACUCUCGAAUCGGCCACAGCUACCUUGUGAAGGAGGGGCUGCUGUCAUCCAUUAGAGCUGCAGAAAGGGAGGCUCAAGGUAGUCACCUUGCCCAGCAGCACAUCAGAGUUGCUGGAUGUGAACCCAGCCCUACUUAGCGGCCCCCAUACCUGCAGUUGUGCUGGCACAUAUGAGGCUCAGGCUGUGGGUGCCAACAAGGGCAUCCCGUACCUAGCAGCCUGGACCCAGCUCUUCCUCAUGUUCACAGCAUAUCUCUCAGGUGGCCUCUGAGUAUGGAACACCCAGAUGGAAUCCAACUUUAAUUUGAUUGAAGACGGCAAGGAUCAAUUUGUUAAGGAAAUUAUGCAUAGCAGCUUAGGGGAGGUGCUUUUAAACUUACACCUGAACCUU
ensembl:lncRNA